rnacentral:rRNA from 1 species
UAGGGAAUCUUCGGCAAUGGACGAAAGUCUGACCGAGCAACGCCGCGGGAGUGAAGAAGGUUUUCGGAGCGUAAAACUCUGUUGUUAGAGAAGAACAAGGACGUUAGUAACUGAACGUCCCCUGACGGUAUCUAACCAGAAAGCCACGGCUAACUACGUGCCAGCAGCAGCGGUAAUACGUAGGUGGCAAGCGUUGUCCGGAUUGAUUGGGCGUAAAGCGAGCGCAGGCGGUUUCUUAAGUCUGAUGUGAAAGCCCCCGGCUCAACCGGGGAGGGUCAUUGGAAACUGGGAGACUUGAGUGCAGAAGAGGAGAGUGGAAUUCCAUGUGUAGCGGUGAAAUGCGUAGAUAUAUGGAGGAACACCAGUGGCGAAGGCGGCUCUCUGGUCUGUAACUGACGCUGAGGCUCGAAAGCGUGGGGAGCAAACAGG